CGCGGCCUAUCAGCUUGUUGGUGAGGUAAAGGCUCACCAAGGCGACGACGGGUAGCCGGCCCGAGAGGGUGACCGGCCACACUGGGACUGAGACACGGCCCAGACUCCUACGGGAGGCAGCAGUGGGGAAUAUUGCACAAUGGGCGCAAGCCUGAUGCAGCGACGCCGCGUGAGGGAUGACGGCCUUCGGGUUGUAAACCUCUUUCAGUAGGGAAGAAGCGAAAGUGACGGUACCUGCAGAAGAAGCACCGGCUAACUACGUGCCAGCAGCCGCGGUAAUACGUAGGGUGCGAGCGUUAUCCGGAAUUAUUGGGCGUAAAGAGCUCGUAGGCGGUUUGUCGCGUCUGUCGUGAAAGUCCGGGGCUUAACCCCGGAUCUGCGGUGGGUACGGGCAGACUAGAGUGCAGUAGGGGAGACUGGAAUUCCUGGUGUAGCGGUGGAAUGCGCAGAUAUCAGGAGGAACACCGAUGGCGAAGGCAGGUCUCUGGGCUGUAACUGACGCUGAGGAGCGAAAGCAUGAGGAGCGAACAGGAUUAGAUACCCUGGUAGUCCAUGCCGUAAACGUUGGGCACUAGGUGUGGGGACCAUUCCACGGUUUCCGCGCCGCAGCUAACGCAUUAAGUGCCCCGCCUGGGGAGUACGG
rnacentral:rRNA from 1 species